CCUACGGGUGGCAGCAGUGAGGAAUAUUGGUCAAUGGACGAGAGUCUGAACCAGCCAAGUAGCGUGAAGGAUGACUGCCCUAUGGGUUGUAAACUUCUUUUAUAUGGGAAUAAAAUGUUCCACGUGUGGGAUUUUGUAUGUACCAUAUGAAUAAGGAUCGGCUCACUCCGUGCCAGCAGCCGCGGUAAUACGGAGGAGCCGGGCGUUAUCCGGAUUUAUUGGGUUUAAAGGGAACGUAGGAGGUAUGUUAAGUCAGUUGUGAAAGUUUGCGGCUCAACCGUAAAAUUGCAGUUGAAACUGGCAGUCUUGAGUGCGUGAGAGGUGGGCGGAAUUCGUGGUGUAGCGGUGAAAUGCUUAGAUAUCACGAAGAACUCCGAUUGCGAAGGCAGUUCACUGGACUGCAACUGACACUGAGGCUCGAAAGUGUGGGUAUCAAACAGGAUUAGAUACCCGGGUAGUC
rnacentral:rRNA from 1 species